AUAAACUUUUAAAGUAUCAUUUCUUUUUUAAAGAUUUAUUUAUUUAUUUGAGAGGUAGAGUCUCAGACAGGGAAAGGAGAGACAGAGAGAGAGGUCUUCCAUCUGAUGGUUCACUCCCCAAAUAGUUGAAAUGGCCAGAGCCGGGCCAAUCCGCAGUCAGGAGCCAGGAGCUGCCUCUGGAUCCCCUACGUGGGUGCAGGGGCCCAAGCACCUGGGCCAUCUUCCACUGCCUUCCCAGGCCAUAGCAGAGAGCUGGAUCGGAAGAGGAGCAGCCAGGACACAAACCAGCGUGUCCACACAAGACGCUGAUGCUGCAGCACCAGCCCCUUAAGUAUCCCUUAUAGAAAAAAAAAAAAAAAAAGCACAGUGGUUUCCGGAGUCAUACUCUGAGUGCUAGAGGGUGACAGCUUCUUCCUUUUAAGGUGACUGCCUCCUUUUGCACCUGAGAUGAUUGACAGCAAUGACGCAAUGACAGCCCUGGUGCAUUUGGGGCACAGAGGGAGACUCAUUUCUGCUGGCGCCGUUACAAACUAGUUUGCAUGCAAAAAUUUUCACACAGUACAGGGCGUUCAGAAAACACCCCCUAUCUUCCCUGUCUUCCUUUGCUAAAAGUCACCUCCUAAGCUAGGACUGGUCCACGCCUCCUUGUCCCGUGCCAGCCCACACUUAGUUUAUUAAUUCCACAGUCAUCAAAAUGACAUCAUCACAGCACAUGGACUGGCGAGGGUCCCAGGCUCAGUCCCUCCAGCCGCCUCUCACACCUGCACCCCACCCACGUGUGCCUUUUUUCAGGCCCUUGGAUUCGCUGCCGUGGCCUGAACGUGUGUCCCUCACACCCCUUCCCAACUCAGGAUUUAGUCCCCAAGGACUGAUGUCAGUGUGGUAGGAACUCCGUCCAAUCAUAGCAGAGAGGCGGGGCCUUGGGGAGUGAUUAAACUGGACCAGGUCGUCAGGGUGGGGCCCCGUGUCUGCGCCUUGCAGCUUUACAGGAGACCUUAGCCGGCCCAGCCCAGCCCAGCCCAGCCCUUCUCUUGUCCGGCGACACCCUUGCCUCCUGGGGAACAGCCAGCGAGAGGUGCCUCUGUGGGGUAACUGACAUGGCAGGUGCCGUCAAACCUCAAGACUGGUGCCUGGAGCUCGCCUCCCUGGACGAAUCAGUGCCUCCCACACUCAGCGCCUGUGGAGCAGGGAGUCUCUUCUUCACAGGUGUAUGCUUUUGAUCAGCCUCUGGCUGAACUUGGCCCUUACAGCAGGAAAGCAGCCACGCACAGUAGUCACCCGGCGAGCCCCACCGAGCCCCAGUAACACUCCACCCGACAAGCACGACAGCGAGCUGCAGUUGCCCGACAGCCAGUUUACUGAGCGUUGUUCUAGAACCUGGACCAAAGCCACUCCUGAGGCCGUGUCUGCGUCGCUCGGUCCAGUCUGCCAGGUCAAGCCAUGAGCUCCGGCCUUUCCUGUCGUCCCUCUGCCGCCUCCUCCAGCGGCGUAUGUGUUUCUCCAUUGUCAUGGACACUUUGCGUCAUUCUUUAAAACCUUCAGCCAUGCUUGAACAAAACCCACAGGAGACUACAAGCUCUUCAACCUGCGCCCAGCGGCUAUGCUGUCCUCCGUUAAACAGCAACGGGGCAUUAUAAAUGUUCAUGACAAUACUGCAUUCAGAAGGAAGACAUUCGGAGCAGGAGCUCAUUCUAUUGGAUUUGAAAACAUUUGAUAAUCUGGGAUACAAAUUUCUUCCAGAAGUUGGUGGAGUGGACAGUAAGAGAGACAGAGAGAAAGGUCUUCCUUUGCUGUUGGUUCACCGCCCCAAAUGGCUGCUGCAGCCGGCGCACCACGCUGAUCCGAAGCCAGGAGCCAGGUGCUUCUCCUGGUCUCCCAUGGGGUGCAGGGCCCAAGCACUUGGGCCAUCCUCCGCUGCACUCCCUGGCCACAGCAGAGAGCUGGACUGGAAGAGGGGUAACCAGGACAGAAUCUGGUGCCCCGACCGGAACUAGAUCCCGGGGUGCCGGCACUGCAGGUGGAGGAUUAGCCUAGUGAGCCGCGGCGCCGGCUGCUCCACUUCUGAUCUAGCCCUCUGCUAUGGCCUGGGAAAACAGUAGAAGAUGGCCCAUCUUCUGCUGUACCCAUGUGGGAGACCCGGAAGAAGCUCCAGGCUCCUGGCUUGAGAUUGGCGCAGCUCCGGCCAUUGCGGCCAUCUGGGAAAUGAGCAGAGACUGUCUUCUCCAUGGACAUCAGGGAAGCAGAGAGCAGGUGGCUGACAGCAGAGCGUGGCCUUGAGCCUGCCCUCCCUCCCCACCCCCUCGCAUGGCCCAGGGCAGAGCUGGGGGCACAGACCGUGAGCACUCACCCCACAGCCACUUUCCUCCUGCUAAGCGGUGCCAGCUCCCCUAACGAGAGCAAACCCCAGGGCGGGACUGCCCAGGCCGGCCCUGGAAGAAUUCCCACGUGGAGCUCCUGAUCCCCACUCUGACCUCCGGAUUCACCAAGACACACCUUCCCCCGAGAGACGGUCACGAGGCAGCCUUGGGGACACACUCGUCCCUUGAGCGUCAAGUCCUGGAGGUGGCCCAGCCCUCCCUCUGCAAAGCACAGCCUGAGCCAAGGUGUUGGAAUAGGACCAGAGUGGGUGCUCAGGCCGACGUGGGACAAGCGCACACGGCCAAGAUGCCCUCUGCUUCCGCAUCAGAGCCCAAGAGGCAAAGGCCGGCUCCCAGCUGCCUGCGGCCAGGCCCCUGCGCUCUGGUUAUUCAUCAAGCUCUGACCUUUUCCCAGUGACUGGAGCUGGGCACCUCUUCCUCGCGGUGCUGGUGCGGGAGCGCCCCACCCUGCAGGCGUGCCCUGGCUCACCUUGCGGGCCCCUGCGGAGCGAGAGCAGCGCAGUCACACUACAGCCCUAUCGAUUGCAUGCGCUCACUGCUCGGUGACAGCAUUGCGUUACCACCGGAGCCCAGGAGUCUUCUGGCUGAAGAAGUGCUUCACCCCACGGACCCACCCGCGGGCUGCCAAGUGCUCCUCACCCAUCACGCCCUUCCCGGCGCACAGCUGUUGGCCUCGUUCCCACCUGACGGAGGGGGAGCGGGGUGCCCAGGGUCGCCCCACCAGACCCAGCUCCUUCAACAGGGAGCGCGGGGGCUGAGACAGGUGGCCUCCUGGGGAGAAGGGGGAGCGAGAAGAAGGGGACGGAGCCAGCAGGGUGGGUGGAAAUGCAGAGACGCUGUUGGACAAUAGACCCGAGUUGAGAUCAGCACUGUCCCAGAUAACGGGAGCAGGCCAGCCAAGGAGGGAAGUCAGGAGCUAACUAUAGACCGAGGCCCACGCCGGUGAGGACCCAGGCGUCCCCUCCUGGGGGGUGGAUUUUCCAUCCUGCCCAUUGUCCCCUGCACUGACUCCAGUCUAAACCGAGAUGCGGGACAGGACAGCGAGGGCCCCAUAGCCGGAGAGUGUGUCCAGCUCUGUGGCCGGUUUUACAGGAGAGAGGAACUCCGCCAGGUGGUGCUGGUGUGGGCAGUUCUGAGAAGCCGAAGGAGCGAGGCGGGUGCUGGGUGAAUCCCUGGACACUUAGGUGCGGGAAGAGCAGAGUUCCCGGGAGCCGGCCGGCGGGGAGGCCACCCCCACCCAUCCUCUCCGAUGUGGAGCCCGUGGCGGGUGGCCCGUCCUGGCUCUGCUGAGUGGUGGGGGAGUGGGGCAGAAGGCCCUGCUGCAGCUGGGGUAGCCGGGGGGCCUCUCUGAGAGCUGACCUUGGGGCCCCCGGGAUCAGCCCCAGGAAGGGGAGAGAUGGCCUAGCAGGGAACCCCACGUGCAGAUCCCAGAGGUGAGAAGGAGCUUGAGGUCCUUUUAAAAGAGAGAAGCAAGCAGGCACACAGGCCAGAGUGGCCAGAGAGGACUGAGCUGGGGGGAGAGGCAGGGUCUGGGCAUGUGCGGGGGUCUUGUUCUACACGCAGCUAGAAACCCGUGUGUGCUUCUGCAGGGGCUCGGAGGGGCGCACGUCCUGAGAAGUCCCCCUCACCACUCUGCAGAGAGCAGACCCAGAGCAGGGCAAGUGGGGACAGGCAUUGUGGUCCAACUGCUUGGGUACCCACAGCCGUCUGCAGUGCCUGGGAUGGGAUCCCACCCCCUUCUCCCAUCCAGCUUCCUGCCAAUGGCCUGGGAGGCAGCGGAUGAUGGCCCGAGUACUCAGGUCCCUGCUGUCCAUAUGGAGACCUGGCUGGAGUUCCUGGCUCCUGGCUUCUGCCUGGUCCAGCCCUGGCUCUUGCAGAGUGAAUCAGCAGAUGGAAGAUGUCUCUCUCUGUCUCCAUCGCUCUGUCCUUGAAAUAAAUCGGGCCAGCACACCUGUGUAUCUGGAACGCACAGCUGCUCUCUGGGCUGGAGAUAGGAAAAUGCAGGGGUCAUUAGCAGGAAGAUGCUACCUAAAGCCGGGGGAAUAGAUGAAGUCCCACAGGAGACACGGGCAGGGGGCUGUGCGCAACACUGCAGCACCCACCGACCAGGUGCGGAUGGGGAGCCUGCAGCUGCUCCAGUCAGCCUAACACUGCAGAGCCCGCGGGCCCAGCUGCACCUGCCCAGGCACUGGAAUCCGCAGGGCAGUGCGGCCUUUGUCCUUGAGGACCACAGCAGAUGCAGGAGACAGCGGUAGGAGCCAAUCAUUGUAGCAGGUGUGACAAAGUAGUUACAGGGAUGGCCCCAGGACAAGGAACUAGAAUUGUCUGCAGGCCCACGUCCUGGAAGCUGGGGGCGUCCGAGGGAAAGAGAGAAACAGAGCAGACGCCGGGGGCUGUUCUGGACCUGAUGUCCUGGCUCCAGAUCUCCGAUGACCCCGUGAUCCUCUCCCCCGCCCCCGCACUCCCGAGUCAGCCUGCAGGUUUCCCAUACAGCCCCAUCUCCCCCCCAGAACCCCUGCCCCCCACACCAUUUCCCGCAGGCCCCAGGCCUCCGGCCCUUCCCCCCAGGCCGGCUCCAUAGCAGGAGAACUGAUUUCUAAAGCCAGGAUUGAGAGACCGCGGCCUGGAGCCCUGCCCUCCAUGGAGGCGAGGCGGGGUGUUGUCUCAGACAGUUGCUUCAUUUCCUGCCGUUGAGAAAUCACGCAUGUUGAUCAGCUUAUAUUUCACAGGACUUGAAGCACAUGGAGGCCUCUGACCCCAUGAGCUCCUCAGAGAACAGCAAGGUUAACCCCCUCUAGCCCACAGCCGAGCCCCACUCCCACACCACGGGCAGCGCGGGGCUCCCCGGCUUUGCAGCCCUGGCCAUGGUGCCCACGUGGCUGUCUCCUGUGCCUGUGCUCAAAGAACCUGCACAACCUGGCCCCAGCCUCCCUCCUCCCCUGGGCCUGGUCCAGCCUGGACAGCCUGGCCCUAAGCUGAGGUCGAGGCCCUGUGUCUCAUUCACAGGGCACUGCCCAAGGCGGUGGCCAGGUCCGAACUCUCGAUCAACACCCUGUGUCUGGGCUGACGCCCUGAACAUCCAGCAUUCUCUCGACACCCAGCCAGGGAGGGUGUCUCCGUCCUCUGAACACGUUUCGCCUGUCGCUGUUCACUGUUUAUUGCUAUUUCAUCCUGCACUGCAUCAUUCUGGGGGCAUGCAACCCCCCACCCCCAGACCCUAGAACUCCAGGAGAUGAAGCUUCAAGUCUGAAGCCAAAUUUUGGUCGCCUCCUCCCACUGGCACAGCCGAGCGUUGUGCAAUGGACCAGUGUGGGUGACGGGUGCAUCGGGGGAACGUGAGCUGGUGUGGGAAGUGCAGCCUAGUGCUUGAUUCUUAAACGAUGAUUUAUUUGUCUAAUUUCCUUGAAAGGCAGAGAGAGAGACAGAGACAGACAGACAGAGACACAGGAAGACAUUUCCCAUCCUCCGGUUCACUCUUCAAAGGCCCACCAAGGCCAAGACGCAGAGUCUCCCAUGUGGGUGGCAGGGAGCCAGGUCCUUGGGCCAUUGCCUGUGGCUUCCCAGGGUGUGCAUCAGUUGGUAGCUGGGACUGGGAGCAGAGCCAGGCCUGCGGCGUGGGUGCUCCGAUAUGAGAUGCCGGAGCCGUAAGUGGCAUCUUAGCUGCUGAGCCAGUGCCAUCUCCCCCGGCUGGGUUUAUUGGUUCUGCAUGAAAAUGCGCUUCCGACUAAAAGGGGUAGAGAGCCAUUCAUUCACUUGUUCACUUACAAGCCUCUUUUUUUUUUUUUAAGAUUUAUUUUAUUUAUUUGAAAUAGCUAUAGAGAGAGGUAGAGUCAGAGAGAGAGGUCUUCCAUCCACUGGUUCACUCCCCAGUUGACUGAAACGGCUGGAGCGGAGCUGAUCCCAAGCCAGGAGCCAGGAGCUUCUUCUGGGGCUCCCACAUGGGUGCAGGGGCCCAAGGACUUGGGCCAUCCUCUACUGCUUUCCCAGGCCAUAGCAGAGAGCUGGAUUGGAAGAGGAGCAGCCAGGACUCGAACCAGCGCCCAUUACAGGAUGCUGGCACUGCAGGCCAGGGCUGUAACCCACUGCACCACAGCACCGGCCCCUCAAAAGCCUCUUUUUAACAGCUACUACGUGCAGAAGUGGCGUUGGUGCUGCAGACGUAGCAAUAAACAAGACCGGUGAAUCCUGCUCCCAUGGGGACUCUCCCGGCCUGGGGGAUAGAGAAUCAACACGGAAAACAUCACGUCCUGGCAAGCACCGUGAUAAAAAUAAGUCAGAGUGUGGGGGGGAGUGACUGGGGAGGGCUGGGAGCCGCGCUCCAGGGCAGACCUGAAGGAGGAGCCACGGGGCCCGGUCGUCCACACAGGAACCUGCCGCAGAGCGAGCCCCCGGCCGUCGCGUGGAGACCUGGGGAGGCUGGGAGAAGACAGGGCGAGCUGGGAAGGGGAGGAAGGAAGGAGGCUAAGGUGAACCGGGCAAUGGACGCAGACGAUCCCCAGCCGGACAGGGAGCCAACGAGGGGGGCAGUGCGAGGAGACGCUCCCCGAAGAUGGGACUUCGGGCAGCUUUCUUUUCUUUUCUUCUUCUUUUUUUUUAAGAUUUAUUUUAUUUAUUUGAAAGAGUUACAGAGAGAGGUAGAGACAGAAAGAGAGGUCUUCCAUCUGCUGGUUCAUUCCCCAGAUGGCCACAACGGCCGGAGCUGUGCCGAUCCAAAGCCAGGAGCCAGGAGCCUCCUCUGGGUCUCCCAUGUGGGUGCAGGGGCCCAAGGACUUGAGCCAUCUUUCACUGCUUUCCCAGGCCAUAGCAGAGAGCUAGAUCAGAAGUGGAGCAGCCGGGACUAGAACCGGGGCCCAUAUGGGAUGCUGGCGCUUUAGGCCAGGUCGUUAACCCACUACAUCACAGCGCCGGCCCCUCUUUUUUUUUUUUUUUUUAAGAUUUAUUUUUAUUUAUUUGAAAGACAGAGAAAGAGGUCUUCCAUCCACUGGUGCACUCCCUAAAUGACUCCAACUACUCGGGGAGGAGCCAGGCUGAAGCCAGGAUCUUCUUCUGAGUCUCCCAUGUGAGUGGCAGGGCCCAAGCACUUGGGCCAUCUUCCACUGCUUUCCCAGGCCAUCAGCAGGGAGCUGGAUCAGAAGUGGAGCAGCUGGGACUUGAACCAGCGCCCAUAUGGGAUGCCGGUGCUGCAGGCAGAGACUUAACGGACUACGCCACAGCAUCGACCCCCUUGGACAACUUUCCAAGUCUGACUUUCCUUGUCUGCAAAACACCUAACUUUGAGAGUUCUUGGGAAGAUUGAAGGCUGUAACGGGAAGAGGCAGCUCUGUGACCAGCGCAGGCACCCGAAAUCUGCGCUCUCCGCUUCCUCCUCUUCCUCCCACUGCCCCCCCUUUCCUCUCUCUCUCUCUCUCUCUCUCUCUCUCUCUCUCUCUCUCUCUCCACCAUUCCUCGCCCUGUCUUUCCUUCACCAUCUUUCAAGCCACAGCUCCCCAGCUGCCCCAGACUUGUUAGACGGUCUCUAAAGACUGAAUCGAUCACGCUUAUUUUGGGCCGCUGAGCCUUGCGUUCACGGUCAGGCGUCGGAAUGGUUUCUGCCGCUCUCUUGAUUAAAGAGCCCGCAGCAGCGUCCGCACGUAAAUGAAGCGAUUUUGCACAAUGAUGUGACUCGCAUGAUUUGGUUUUUCCACUGAAGUCACCGUCCCUUAAUAGAAGAUGGCUCCCACCACUGGAUUAAGGGAUUAGGAAGAGGCUGUCUCCAGGC